rnacentral:rRNA from 1 species
AUUGAACGCUGGCGGCAUGCCUUACACAUGCAAGUCGAACGGCAGCACGGGUGCUUGCACCUGGUGGCGAGUGGCGCACGGGUGAGUAAUACAUCGGAACAUGUCCUGUAGUGGGGGAUAGCCCGGCGAAAGCCGGAUUAAUACCGCAUACGAUCUACGGAUGAAAGCGGGGUCCCUUCGGGCCUCGCGCUAUAGGGUUGGCCGAUGGCUGAUUAGCUAGUUGGUGGGGUAAAGGCCUACCAAGGCGACGAUCAGUAGCUGGUCUGAGAGGACGACCAGCCACACUGGGACUGAGACACGGCCCAGACUCCUACGGGAGGCAGCAGUGGGGAAUUUUGGACAAUGGGCGAAAGCCUGAUCCAGCAAUGCCGCGUGUGUGAAGAAGGCCUUCGGGUUGUAAAGCACUUUUGUCCGGAAAGAAAUCCUUGGCCCUAAUACGGUCGGGGGAUGACGGUACCGGAAGAAUAAGCACCGGCUAACUACGUG